CUUCACCAGGAAUCCUGGUGGUGACACUAUCAGGAACAGGCUCCACGACCUUGAGAGCCCCUCCCAGAACCAAAUUCACAAGACAGAUGUCAAUGGAAACCCCACACAGAGCCUGAGGAAAAGCAGCUCAGAGGGAUCCUGAGUGCAGUGCUUGGCUCUUUACCUCUCUGCUCCUGCGAGAUGUUUCUGCAGAAUGAGCAGCUGUCUCGCUCACACAACCCACUUGCAAAGAGCCCACAGGUUAAUGGCAGAUAAUUUCCAAGAGGCUACGCCUCAGGAACCCAACCCUUAAGGCUUUACCAGGUCCAAGAGACAGAGGGAGGACACGGGACCUUCAAACACUGUGAUCAAGACUCGGAUCUCCCACUCACCAGUGGCUCUGUCGCCAAGCAGAGGGGGAAGGACGGUUUGGAGAUUGUGCUACUGUAGCAGAGACCCCCAGCUUCUGACAGAGGCACAGAUCCCAAACUGCUACAGCACACAUCCUCUGAGCUCAGGACAAAAGCUCUGCUCCUGUUUCACUGCUGCAAGAUUCCACAUCCUCUCUCCUUUUUUCACUAUCAGCUUAUCCCAGGUUUAUAGGAAA